rnacentral:lncRNA from 1 species
AGGCAUUGAUUCAAAGUUAGUGUUUGAAAUUUUUUCUCCAAACCGACGCGUCGUGUAAUCCCUCACGAAUAACUAGGGUUUAGAUCUCAUAUUUCCUCUUACAUCUUAUUCCCUCUUUCCGUUUUCGUUGUCGUCGAAGUUAGAACACUUGUUAUCUCCAUUGCAGCCGUACGUCGGUAUUUUCUUCGAGGAGUUCGGUCUUGGACAUUCUACGUACGGGUAAUGAUUGUUCGUUUUUUGCAUCCAUACAGAGUGGUAUUCUAUGUUUUUCUUCUCGGUUGAUGAAUGUUGUAUUCUAUGUUUUUCUUCUCUGUUCUUCUUUGAUGUGUGUUGUAUUUUAGAUAUUUCUGUUUUCGUUUCUCUAUGAUGGGUGUUGGUCUAGUAUACUUAUUUAUUUUCUGUCUUCUUUAGUGGGUGUUUUAUUUUUGAUAUUCUGUUUUCGUUUUUCUUUGAUGGGUGUUGUUCUAGAAUACUAAUUUAUAUUAUGUUUUCGUUUUUGUUCAUCCAUUUUCGUUUUUAUUCAUCCAUUUUUAUUAUUCCAGUUUGAUGAUUGUUGUAUUUUAGUAUUCUCUAAUUUUCGUAGGUAGUUAUAUUUUUUAAGAAUGUGGGUUAUAUUUUUGAUGAAUAUAUGUGGUUUCAUAUAUGCAAAAAAUUUAGGAAUUGAAUGAGUAAGUAUAAUGAACAGGGGUAGGUAGUAUUAGAUUUUGUUCAUAUUUUUUGAGUAUUGUUGUUCGAAGAUAGUUGGUUUUUCUUCAUGUUUUUAUAUUCCUGUUCGAUGAUUGUUGUAUUUUAGUAUUCUCUAGGUAGUUAUAUCGUUGGGGAAUGUGGGUUAUAUUUUUGAUGAAUAUAUAUGUAUGCAAAAAAUGUAGGAAUUUAAUGAUUAACUAUAAUGUACAGGGGUAGGCAGUAUUCAAUUUAUAUGUGGUUUUUCUUCAUGUGUUCAAUUUGUUUUUCUUCAUGUGUUUAUAUAAGUACUAUAUGGAAGAAGGCUAUGUUGUGUUCUAUGAUUGGGAGUUAGAUGAUUUUAUUCAGGACUGUGAGACAGAGUUUGGGGGUUAUAUUUCUUUUGAUUGAAUGGAAGUAUGUGUAUGGAAAUUGAAUGAAUUUAGUAUGAGUAUGAAUAUGGAAAUUUACUGUGGUUCUUUUGUUGUUUUUUAUUUUCAUUGAAUGUAUUUGUGGUAACAAAGUAUAAUGUAUGUAUUGCUGGGGUAAUGUGGGGAAG